UACAGAGGGGGCAAGCGUUGUUCGGAAUUACUGGGCGUAAAGGGCGCGUAGGCGGCCUGUUAAGUCGAACGUGAAAUCCCUGGGCUCAACCCAGGAACUGCGUCCGAUACUGGCAGGCUUGAAUUCGGGAGAGGGAUGCGGAAUUCCAGGUGUAGCGGUGAAAUGCGUAGAUAUCUGGAGGAACACCGGUGGCGAAGGCGACAUCCUGGACCGGUAUUGACGCUGAGGCGCGAAAGCCAGGGGAGCAAACGGG
rnacentral:rRNA from 1 species